rnacentral:sRNA from 1 species
CAUCAAGUGUGUGUGCGGGAACAACAUUGCCGUUGUUUCUGAUGCCGAGGGCUUGGAAAUGGGAUACGGUUUAUGGUACGAGUAUACGGAGGCGGGGGAACGGGAUAUGUCUUUUUUUUCAAAUGCCAGCCACAAGAGCUGGAGUGUUAAAGGGGCGAAGGGAUCAACAGGAGGAUCAGGAACAGUGCUGGAUACGGUAUUCCCUCACAGGCGUUCCUCACAACUGGGAAACUCACAACUGGGAAACUCACAACAAUAACUGUAGCGUAAAGAAGUCUUGAACUUUUAUAUACACUGGAUUGGCAAGCAGACGGAUCAGAAUCAGUAAUGGAAUAGAAUGGAACGCCUUGGGAAGGGUUUCUCUCGGGAGAAACCGGUACUCGGUACUCGGUACUAGAAAGUCAAGCCGAAUCAGGAUCAGAUCAUAUACAUAUAUAUUUGCUGCGGUGCUUUCAAGAAAAGUUCUGCAAAUAUAAUGUGUUCAGAUGGCGUUUCUAUCUUUCUCGAGCGCUCACCACCACUGACACUGCAGGGGCUUGAAUGCAACCAAAGAUCUUUCUAAAUGUUACCAAGACUUUUCAGUUCAAAGAAGUUGGAUAAGGAGAAGAAUAGCAGUUGGAAUGGAAUGGUAAAGGCGUCUAGGCAUAAACCCUCAGACUCAGACAAGAUACACUUUUCGCUGGCGAAGUGUGAUGUAAGUACAGUAGAAUCCGGUUAUAACGACUCUGCUUAUUCGAUGACUUGGUUGGCCCCCAUGCAAACUUAUAUGAAAGAGCCUCCGCUUAAUAUAUGUAUAUGCAUAUAUCAGUGAUCGGCAACGAUUUCAAAGGAAGAACUGGCUGAAUAUGUUCUUAUUGACAAUGCUGUGGCGUUUUGUGAGGACCCUUCCGAAAACAACAUUGUUAAAAAUAUAUUAGAUAACGGACAGGACAGCGACGGCAACGUCGAAGAUCAAAAUGAAGCGUUUUGGAGGCAUUUAAGACUGCAGAAAUUCGGAAUCCAUAGCAUAGCAUGACUAGUUUAAAUAAUGCCGUGCGCUACUGUUUUUAUAUAUCAGAAACUACUGCUAAA